GCUGGUUUCCACACCUUCAUUGCACGGCCUGAGAAAAGAAUAUAAAAGCUGCUUUGGGAAGUAAAGAAGGCAAAGAAUAAAGACAAAGAAACGAUGGCAGUGGUGGAGAGAAAAGAAAUGAGAGAAGGUCACCAUGAUGGGGAGAGGAAACAGAGACUUUUCUGCUGGAGAAGGGCAGAAGAUGGCAGCUGAUAUGCAGUGGAUGACAUCCAGGGGCAUCUGCCUCUGGAAACAUCAGGUCAUAUGGCAUCCCACUCCUUCGAAACGGUUUCUUGGUCAAAUGACAAUCAAGAGCUUCAAGAAAACCCCAAGACUAUACAAACAAUGUGAGAAAUACUUGGAGGAUUGGAAUACAACUGGAAAUGCUAGCCAUGGAAUGGAUGGUGGAAAUGGAGAGGAUUGUGAUAACUCGGCAACUUUCAUGAAGUCAGACUAUGGAAGAAGAAGCUAGAGGAAAUGAACUGUUUUGGUCUCAGGCUUGAAUGCCAUUUUCAUCCUAUUUUCUUCAUGAAGAACUCUUGAUUCAAUAACAAGAUUUGCAUGGUGUUUUUUAAAGUGUGGA
rnacentral:lncRNA from 1 species